rnacentral:rRNA from 1 species
CCUACGGGAGGCAGCAGUGAGGAAUAUUGGUCAAUGGUCGAGAGUCUGAACCAGCCAAGCCGCGUGAAGGAUGACUGCCCUGUGUGUUGUAAACUUCUUUUGUCUGGGAAUAAAAUCUUGCACGUGUCACAUUUUGUAUGUACCUUAUGAAUAAGGAUCGGCUAACUCCGUGCCCACAGCCGCGGUAAUACGGAGGAUGCGAGCGUUAUCCGGAUUUAUUGGGUUUAAAGGGAGCGUAGGUGGAUUUUUAAGUCUGUUGUGAAAGGUCGGGGCUCAACCGGAAAAUCGCAGUUGAAACUGGCAGUCUGGAGUACAGGAGAGGGGGGCGGAAUUCGGGGUGUAGCGGUGAAAUGCUUAGAUAUCACGAAGAACUCCGAUUGCGAAGGCAGCUUACUGGACUGAAACUGACGCUGAGGCUCGAAAGUGUGGGUAGCAAACAGGAUUAGAUACCCUAGUAGUC